rnacentral:tRNA from 1 species
UGGGGUGUAGCCAAGCGGUAAGGCAAUAGACUUUGACUCUAUCAUUUCGUAGGUUCGAAUCCUGCCACCCCAGCCA